GAGCGAACAGACGCGUUUAAAAUUUUCUCGACGCUGAAAAAAAAUGGACGAGCUCGAGAAUGAUCUAUGUGCUGACGGCUCAACAACUAGCGGAGAUCCUGGAGUAAAUUAAUGAGAGCAAACUGGCAAAUAGUGGAUUAUGUAGUUGUCACAUGUGAAGCACGUGCCUAGUAUUGUUAUUGGACAAGAAUCUUUUUGCCUGGACCAACUUGUUGAACGUUCUCAGCACAAACUGUCCUACAUGUUCGAACUAGAUAAAGACGGG